UACGUAGGGUGCAAGCGUUAAUCGGAAUUACUGGGCGUAAAGCGUGCGCAGGCGGUUUGUUAAGUCAGCUGUGAAAUCCCCGGGCUUAACCUGGGAAUGGCAGUUGAGACUGGCAGGCUAGAGUGUGUCAGAGGGGGGUAGAAUUCCACGUGUAGCAGUGAAAUGCGUAGAGAUGUGGAGGAACACCGAUGGCGAAGGCAGCCCCCUGGGAUAACACUGACGCUCAU
rnacentral:rRNA from 1 species